rnacentral:rRNA from 1 species
CCUAGCUUGCUAGGUGUCGGUUAGUGGCAUACGGGUGAGUAACGCGUAGGAAUAUACCCUUUAGUACGGAACAACAUUUGGAAACGAAUGCUAAUACCGUAUACGCCCUUCGGGGGAAAGAUUUAUUGCUAAAGGAUUAGCCUGCGUUAGAUUAGCUAGUUGGUAGGGUAAUGGCCUACCAAGGCGACGAUCUAUAGCUGGUCUGAGAGGAUGAUCAGCCACACUGGAACUGAGACACGGUCCAGACUCC